rnacentral:rRNA from 1 species
CCUACGGGAGGCAGCAGUGGGGAAUUUUGCGCAAUGCUCGUAAGAGUGAAGCAGCGACGCCGCGUGAAUGACGAAGGCCUUCGGGUCGUAAAGUUCUUUCGACAGGGGAGAAAAUGCCUAUAAGUAACUGUGUAUGUAUUGACGGUACCUGUAUACGCAGCCCCGGCUAACUCCGUGCCAGCCGCCGCGGUAAUACGGAGGGGGGGAGCGUUGUUCGGAGUGACUGGGCGUAAAGAGCACGUAGGCGGUGUUGUAAGUCAUUAGGCAAAGACUAGAGCUCAACUUUAGUAAGGCUAGUGAUACUAUAAUACUAGAGUAUGAGAGAGGAGUGCAGAAUGCCUGGUGUAGCGGUGAAAUGCGUAGAUAUCAGGAGGAAUACCGUUAGCGAAGGCGGCAAUCUGGCUGGAAACUGACGCUGAGGUGCGAAAGCGUGGGUAGCAAACAGGAUUAGAUACCCUAGUAGUC